GUGGUGCUUCUCUUUUCCCGCCAUGGAAGUCGACUCAGAGAAGAAUCUUCAGAGAGAACAAUCUACCUCCUAUACCUCCCUGGAUAAGAACUUUGAGAUUCAGAAGGAGACGUACAGGGGCCAGCAGUAGAGCCAGAUUUACUUUGCUCGUCUCCAUUUGAUGCGAACCCUCCUCCAUAGAAAGGAGAUAUGCCAGCUGGCGCUAUUCAGAGAAGAUCGUAUCACAGGAGCGGAGGAUGCUUAAUCUUGGUGUUUGAUUGUCGGUCAUGACCGAGGUGUUGACUCGAGCCAGAUUCCGUUAUCUCUGUAGACUGUUGCUUGAUUUACGUUAUUACUCCAUCCCCUCGUUCCCCAUUGGAAACCCCAUUUACCAGUUUGCACAGUUUGCAAUUGGAUUGGAAGAAGGCAAGGAAUGCAUCCUAGCUGGAACCCUGAACAAGCACAUGAAACUCAAACCUUGUGUCCUGGAUGAGUACUCCGAGGAGGGGGUGGGGGAUUCGAACCUGAUUGUCCUUUGGAUACCAGAUCAGAUCUUAUGCCAUUGGUCCAAAGGACCUUGGCUUGUUGAGCUGUUCUUUCAAAUCAUAAUAUAAGUCUAAUUGGUCUUUGUAGUACAAUUGAUUGGAUAGUUUUCAUCAAAGUAUGUGAAAUUUAUGUGCGGAAUUAGCAGGGAACGAUCAACUCUCUUAUUCUUAUUCUUCUCAGCUUUGCCUAAAAUUUGAGUUGUGGUUGGUCUGUCUUGUAUUUUUUUUCCCAGAAGUACAACUUGGUAUAAACCAUUAUCUGUAUAAAGCAUGUUUAUUGGCAUUGACAUGGUGCGCAUGAUAGGCAUUGUUGUUGCUUUGCAUGGAAAGGAAACUGACGCUGGCGACAUUUUGUUUCAAGAUGUCCUAGAGGCUGGCCUACCACCUCAGAUAGAGCUUCCCCUUAAAUCAAGUAUGAUCUGGUUUACCUUCAUUUUUACUUCUGGAUGCCAGAAAAACGGUCGACCAUGAAAAUAUGUCAAAGGGGGCUCGACCGUGGAAAUGUAAUAGUUGUAAGUUUAUCAUUUUUCUCAAACUUAUAGGAGCCUUGAAGUUCAUUGACAAGUUAUUUAAUGAUAGUGAUAUGAAUUCAAUGUUUU